AAAAGAUCACCUGGAGCACAUGAACCUGCAGGACUUCACCCUGUCACAGAUCAUCACGCAGCAGAAAGAGCUACUCAUACCAGACAAAGCCAACGUCUUCUACGCCAUGUCCACAACAGCUAACUUUGACUUCGUCCUGCGCAAUCACAGCAAACGGCAGAAGAAACCUCUGAGACCGACCGCCAGUCUGGGUCGGUUCACGAAGUGAGAGGAGCUGAGCUGAUUGGACGUUCCUGGAAGACAUGAAUAUGCAUCCUGCUCUAUGGUUUCUGCCAAAGCAGGAUGGAGUUUAGAGACUGUG